AUUGAACGCUGGCGGCAGGCCUAACACAUGCAAGUCGAGCGGGGUUUUCGGACCUAGCGGCGGACGGGUGAGUAAUGCGUAGGAAGCUACCCGAUAGAGGGGGAUACCAGUUGGAAACGACUGUUAAUACCGCAUAAUGUCUACGGACCAAAGUGUGGGACCUUCGGGCCACAUGCUAUCAGAUGCGCCUACGUGGGAUUAGCUAGUUGGUGAGGUAAUGGCUCACCAAGGCGACGAUCCCUAGCUGGUUUGAGAGGAUGAUCAGCCACACUGGAACUGAGACACGGUCCAGACUCCUACGGGAGGCAGCAGUGGGGAAUAUUGGGCAAUGGGCGCAAGCCUGAUCCAGCCAUGCCGCGUGUGUGAAGAAGGCCUUCGGGUUGUAAAGCACUUUCAGUAGGGAGGAAGCGUUGUGUGUUAAUAGUACACAGCGUUGACGUUACCUACAGAAGAAGCACCGGCUAACUCUGUGCCAGCAGCCGCCGUAACAC
rnacentral:rRNA from 1 species